CAUAAAUCUGAGAAACGUGAGUUUGUCAUCAUUUUUUAUCUAGACAUAGGAUAGGUUGUGUGAAAAUAUUACUGAUGUUUAACGUUAAAAAUGGACCAAAAGAUUAAUGCUAAACAACAUUUGACAUGUUUGAACGAACAUAAAUAGAUUAUUUACUAGGUUUUUUUAGCUUUUCGGCGUGAUUUUACCAGCCCCCCAACCACGUUUUGUGGGAGCAUAAUGAACGCUAAGUACUUGGUGUUAUUUGGACAUAAAUUAUGAACUUUGUCAAAAGAAAACACAUUUGUUCCGGACCUGGAAUGCCUUCCGGACCUGGGAUCCUGCCUUCUGAUGGAGAUAAUCAAAGAUGUCACUUCCAGGUAUCACAGGUCCAUAACGAAUGUAGUUUUGUUCAAAAAAGCUCAUCAUUUAUGUCCAAAAAUCUCCGUCUUGUUAGCACAUGAUCUAAGCCAGCCGGACUUCACUUCAUGAACGAGGGGAAAAAAUAUAUUUACGUUCGUUCAAACAUGUCAAACGUUGUAUAGCAUAAAUCAUUAGGGCCUUUUUUAACCAGAACAUGAAUAAUAUUCAAGGUGGACGAAUGCAUUCUCUUUUAUAACGUAUUGGAACGAGGGUACCCAACAUGAACUCGCGCCAG
rnacentral:lncRNA from 1 species